GAUGAACGCUAGCGGCAGGCUUAACACAUGCAAGUCGAGGGGCAGCAUGAUUUAACUUUCGGGUUAGAUUGAUGGCGACCGGCGCACGGGUGCGUAACGCGUAUGCAACCUACCCAUAACAGGGGGAUAACACUGAGAAAUUGGUACUAAUACCCCGUAAUAUUGAAGAAGGCAUCUUCUUCAGUUGAAAGUUCCGGCGGUUAUGGAUGGGCAUGCGUUGUAUUAGCUAGUUGGUGAGGUAACGGCUCACCAAGGCGACGAUACAUAGGGGGACUGAGAGGUUAACCCCCCACAUUGGUACUGAGACACGGACCAGACUCCUACGGGAGGCAGCAGUGAGGAAUAUUGGUCAAUGGUCGGAAGACUGAACCAGCCAUGCCGCGUGCAGGAAGAAUGUCUUAUGGAUUGUAAACUGCUUUUGUAUGGGGCUAAUAAUAACUUUGCGAAGUUAGAUGCAGGUACCAUACGAAUAAGGAUCGGCUAACUCCGU
rnacentral:rRNA from 1 species